CCUACGGGAGGCAGCAGUGGGGAAUAUUGCACAAUGGGGGAAACCCUGAUGCAGCGACGCCGCGUGAGUGUAGAAGUAUUUCGGUAUGUAAAGUUCUAUCAGCAGGGAAGAAAAUGACGGUCCCUGACUAAGAAGCCCCGGCAAACCACGUGCCAGCAGCCGCGGUAAUACGUAGGGGGCAAGCGUUAACCGGAUUUACUGGGUGUAACGGGAGAGUAGACGGCGGAACAAGUCAGAAGUAAAAGCGCGGGACUCAAGCCUGGGAGUGCUUUUGAGACUGUUUGGCUGGAGUGCAGGAGAGGGAAGAGGAAUUCGUAGUGUAGCGGUGAAAUGCGUAGAUAUUAGGAGGAACACCAGUGGCGAAGGCAGCUUACUGAACUGUAACUGACGUUGAGGCUCGAAAGCGUGGGGAGCAAACAGGAUUAGAUACCCUGGUAGUC
rnacentral:rRNA from 1 species